AAGGAGUCUAACAUAUCUGCGAGUAUUUGGGUGUCAAACCCGAGUGCGCAAUGAAAGUGAACGUAGGAGCCACGCGCAAGAUGCAGCUUCGACCGAUCUGGAUCUUUAGUGAGGGAUUUGAGUAAGAGCAUAUAUGUUGGGACCCGAAAAAUGGUGAACUAUGCCGGUAUAGGGCGAAGCCAGAGGAAACUCUGGUGGAGGCUCGUAGCGAUUCUGACGUGCAAAUCGAUCGUCAAACUUGGGUAUAGGGGCGAAAGACUAAUCGAACCAUCUAGUAGCUGGUUCCUGC
rnacentral:misc_RNA from 1 species